AUAAAUGCAUUGAAGGAGAAGGAUAUUUUAACUACAGUUUUAGAGAGUCGGUGGUGGGUGUAAACCGAUACUGUAAUAAAAUAUAGAUCACUCCCAAGCAGUAUCUUCGAAAUUUUCAAAGUAGUUGAUACCGAUUAGCCUCGAUAACGGCUUAGGUUUGUUAGAACCGAAAAAGUGGUUUCUUUCUAUUUUAUUAUAUUUUAAAAUAGGAGAGACAAUUAAGGUGGUACCGCGAGUGAUAACUCGCCCUUAGA
rnacentral:ncRNA from 1 species